UCCUACUUUAUCCAUAUAGCUUGCUGCCUA
rnacentral:piRNA from 1 species